CACUAUGUGUUUUCCUGGGAAAAGACAAACACGAACGAGCGUCGUUUUUGUUACGAGUCAUUUAAUUAUCAAAGAAGUACUUUCCAUCCAUCUUAAUUGCCAUACAUCGCUAAAAGAGCAAAUUCCAAAGGAAGAAUGAAAGAAAGUCAACAUGUUGAAAAAGACGUUCACGCUGUGAGUCUGGUGUACGCACGAACAGCUGGAAUCUCCUUCAGUCACCAGCGGGAUCCAUUCAGAAUCACCGACGCGACAGCUGAAGGACGUUGUUUUCCUACGACAAAUUACGCGCGCGUUCGCCGCUUUCGACGCGCGGCGUCGACGCGUGUGCGUGUAAUCCUCCCGUGUUGUCUACACACACCAACACACAACGUACGCACACCAUAACGCUGACCUACCCCACUGAGAAUCGUGUUUCAAUACAGAAACCGAAAACCAUAUCAUUACGCUGAAGCUCGUAGCAAACUUUCGUAGCAAAUGCGCGCGCGCAAUCGACUAACCUUUGCGAGGGCCAGUUAGCGCGUUUCACAGGUGUGUGUUAAUCGACGCGAUAAUCGAGUACGCGUGCCACUAAGAAAACAUUUUUCUGCAGUAAGAUCGAUGGAGUGUUUGGAGUAAGAAUGACGGAGAGUUUAGAUGCGUACAUAUAGUGGAGAGCCGGAGGUGGGAAUCUUACGGGCGUUGCGAUAAGGCACACAUUAAUUGAAGAACAACAUCCGGCAUGGAGCCGGUGGCCGACGUCGUGACAUCAUUGUCUACGACAGAACGAAAAUGGAAUUAAACGAAGCACCAUCGGCCUGAGCCGAUUCAAAGCAAAGGAUACUGUGAGCUUCCUUUGACACAACGCAUCCCUAAAAUUUACUCAUCGGCUCACAAAACCCUUUCAAACACCCGGAGGUAACGUGGGUGGAGGGCAAUAAUAUCCACGUGCACGAAGGCGAGCACACGAAGCAAGCAAGAAAAUAAACAAACGAGUAAGAAAGAAAGAAAGAAAGAAGAGGCGGUUGGACAAGGCGCAUCGCGUACGCGCGCGUAGCUCGUGUCCGGUCAGCCGUUAAGAAGGAAGCUUCAGGCCGAUGUCGAAGAUAAGACCGGGGACGUGUCCCUCUGUGCGUGGCAUUCUGCCGGAGAAAUGGUACCGAAGUUCGGGGACCAACGAGUGUGCUGGGCCCUCACGUAAUCCACGGAUACGUCGCGACGAAUUUGUACGUCUGCCCAAUGAGCCAGAAGCCACCCUGCGUUAGCCUCGUUUCGCGUUCACCGUUCUUCUCCUCUUUUCGGACCGUUCCACCGAGGAGAAGCUACAAAACUGGGCCCAUCCACCUUCAAAAUGGCUACCGUCUCCACGUCGGUGGACAGCCGAUGUAAACUACAAGUGCUCCUCUCGAACACAAGCUGCCUCGUCGAUCCCUCGUCGAUCGCGUCGCCGGUUUUUUCGAUUUCUUCAAAGUGGCAACGCUUGCUUUUCGGGAAGACGUCGAUAGAUCCUGAACAUAGGAUAGGAUAGAGAGGGAGAGACAAAGAGACAGAGAGAGAUAUUUCUUUGAUCGGUACGAGGAUCGAGUGUUUCUGACAACACUGGGUUUGGGUUGGUUGAGUUGGUUGGGUUUGUUGGCAUUGAUAGAGAUUGGAGCUUUUAGAAGUUUAACGUUUUGCGUAUGUACAUCUACGUUGAUUGGAGUUUAGUGGGUUUUUUAAUAGGAAAUGUACUAAUGCUAGAGUUACUGACCUUUAAUAUGUAUCUAAGUAUGUGACAUACUCAGAUCAUUAGAAUUCAACCAAUGAUAUAUGUACUUAAUCAUAAUUCUGGCCUACAAAUGAAUAUUAAUAUUAGCAAAAACACUUGCAUGUUUUUAGUAAUUU